CUGGCCCUUUCAACAGAAGGCAUUGUGACAUAUCUCUGGUCCUAUCAUUUAUGUGACAUGACUCUCCUCUUCUGCCUGGACACUGCCCACAAGGGGCAUUGUGCCAUACAGUUGGGCAUAGCCCCGAAGUUAUGUUACUUUUCUGCCAGGAACUUGCCUACAAGGAGAACAUCAGAACAUUUCUGCCUCAGCAUAUAGGUUAUAUGGCUGUCAUGCCUUUCAUUACCACAGAAAACAUAAGUGAUGUCUUAGAUCUCUUUCUGGCGAAAAGGUCACAGAAGAUUAUAACAGCCUCAGAUAAUUUGCAGCCCUUGGCUUGUACAGAGAGUGUCAGAACAGAACCCAGCAGAAAGGAGAAAUUGUGAGUCUCAUAUGUACACCCAGCUGACUGUAAGGACUGUCACCAUCUUACAUACAUGAAGCCAACUGUCACACAUGAAAAGAGGACAUGUGUGGUAUUGUAAAUCUCAUCUCGAAUAUUCUCUCAGUGUGACUGUGAUAUAAAUCUUUGCCAAGCAUCUGUGUGAUUUGACUCUCCAAACUGGUUCCAGCCCAUAUAUACGGGAUUGUGAUCUCUACCUGGGCCAACCUCUAGAUAAUGUGACUCUCCUGCCUGGGCCCUUCUCUCAGUAAGGGUUGUGACAUAUCACUGGAUCUAACACCCAAGUGAUGUUACAUUCUUGCCUGGACCAUGCACAGAGACAUCAUUGUGACAUAUCACUGUGUCCACCACUUAGGUGAUGUAACUCUCCUCUCUGGAAUGGACCCUGAAUACGGAGUGGUAGUGACAUCUUCCUAGGCCAGACACACAGGUGUUGGUACUCUUUUUCCAGGGCUAUGUUUCAAGGAGGGCAUUGUGACAUAUCUCUGGACCUAUCACCGAGGUGAUAUGAUUCAACGCUUGGGCCUCACCGACGUAGAACAUUGUGACAUAAAAGUUAAACCUGCACCAAAGGUGUUGUAACUCUUUCACCUUGGUCCUGUCCUAAGGGAGCCCUGCAACAUAUCUCAGGACCCAGCACUCAGGAACAUUGUGACAUCGUUGGACAUAGCAUCUAGGAAAUGUGACUCUUCUCUCCUGCCUAGGUCCUGCCCACUAAAGGAAUUGUGACAUACCACUGAGUGCAAAACCUAGCCCUGUCUACAGUGGACAUGGUACCACAUGACUUGAGGCUGUAUCCAGGUGAUGUGACUCUUCUGACUUGGCCCUGCCUGCAAAGGAAAUUAUAAUAUAUCCUGAGCUCAGAAUCCAGGCGAUGAGACUCUCCUGCCUCUUUUCUGCCCACAAGUGAAAUUGUGACUUAUACCUGCGUUCAGCUCACAUGCACAAAUAUAACUAUUAUACCUGGACCCAGAAAGGAGAGAUAUUUGGACUCUUAUAGCCAGUCCUAUGGCCAUAAGUAAAGUAAAGGGUCCCCUGUUUGUAUAAAGCUCACAGAGGAUUAUGACACUCAGGCACAUCAUAUAAAGCCUGAGUGGUACAAAGAGUGUCAUAGCAGGGAACAGCAACCAGGUGCGAUUGUGACUCUUGGAUGCUCACCCAGCUGACCCGAUUGUCAUUCUCUCACAAGAACAGGGCCUACAUACAAGCAUCUGGUGCUUCUGCUGGAGCAAUGUUAAUUGAAGCUCCGGCAAAGCGAGAAAGCUGCUUGAUGUGCUUGGCCCUGCUUGCCGAUGAUGACACCGACUGAUAGAGCCUGGAUAAACAGAUGAACAGUCUCCGUUUCUGAUUGCUCAAACUGCGGCUUUGGCACAUGCCUCAACAUUGCCUUUAACUGUAAUGGUGCGUUCUGGAUUAUACAGCGUCAAUUCCUGAAAGCACCUUGAUGGCCUUGAGGGCCCAGCUCUCCUCUGGGCAGUCCAUGAACGCAUAGCCAGUCUUCACCAGGAAGGAUCCCAACACUGGGAUCUUGGCGUCCUUGAAGAUACUUUCUAGGUCCAAGGGGACGGCGUUCUCGUGGAGGUUUCCGAUAUACAGUUUGUUCAUUGUGAAGAAUGGUUGUUUAAAAAAAUUAACGAGAAGAACGAGAAAUUAAAACCACCCAUGGUGAUGGAUGGAUCCAGCUGGUUUUGUUGCUCUCAUCUUCUCACCUUUAAAAUACACAAACACAGAAAGAACCAAGCACAAGAACAAGGAGUGAAAAAUCAGAUCCGAGGCUUGUUUUUCCUUGUCCUAGAUAUGUUUUAAAAGAGAAAGAAAAGAAAAAGCCUAGCUACAACCCAAAUGCAUCAACCAGUCUUCCUAAGUCUCGCUUUUGAAUAAUUUUCAAAUGAGAUGUACACCUAAAUUUUAAGAGUGUUUGAGUUUGUGUUUGCUUUAGUGGUGCUUUAUAUCUGUCUGAUUGUAAGCAUAAUGUUCAUGGAAAGAGACUUUUGGUAGGAAUCAAACUGGGACUCUUACAAUGGCUUAAGUCCAUCAGAAUAGUUCUGAUGCUACUUAGGAGCAUCAGAACUCCUUUCUUUGCCUGAUUUUUCAACUUAUUUCUUAAUUGGAACCCCAUAAAGAACAUGAAUGGUCUUCUGAUAUCCUUAAUGUCUUAGAGUUAUAUCAAUAUUUUGCUUACCAG
rnacentral:lncRNA from 1 species